rnacentral:rRNA from 1 species
AUUGAACGCUGGCGGCAGGCCUAACACAUGCAAGUCGAGCGAGCGGCGGACGGGUGAGUAAUGCCUGGGAAUUGCCCAGUCGAGGGGGAUAACAGUUGGAAACGACUGCUAAUACCGCAUACGAUUGGAUUGCCCAGGUGGGAUUAGCCAGUUGGUGGGGUAAUGGCUCACCAAGGUGACGAUCCCUAGCUGGUCUGAGAGGUUGAUCAGCCACACUGGGACUGAGACACGGCCCAGACUCCUACGGGAGGCAGCAGUGGGGAAUAUUGCACAAUGGGGGAAACCCGGAUGCAGCAAUGCCGCGUGAGUGAAGAAGGCCUUCGGGUUGUAAAACACUUUCAGCGAGGAGGCGUUACUCGCAGAAGAAGCACCGGCUAACUACGUGCCAGCAGCCGCGGUAAUUC